rnacentral:rRNA from 1 species
UCGUGUAGGCGGCCAAGCAGGUCCGUUGUGAAAACUGGAGGCUUAACCUCCAGACGUCGACGGAAACCGCGCGGCUAGAGUCCGGAAGAGGAGAGUGGAAUUCCUGGUGUAGCGGUGAAAUGCGCAGAUAUCAGGAAGAACACCAAUGGCGAAGGCAGCUCUCUGGGACGGUACUGACGCUGAGACGCGAAAGCGUGGGGAGCGAACA